CCCACUGGCAAUGAUAACCCCAGUAACAACAGGGACUAGAGUAAUAUAAGUAAGCCAACCUUCCCUCUUCAAUGUCAUCAAGUAAGCGAAAACCGCAGUGAAAAACGGUGUCGUAGCACCGAUAGCCUGAUUGAAACUAACCGGCAAAUACCUCAAAGAAAUAUUCCCAAACAACACCGACACGCAAAAGACUAAACUCAAAGUCGUGAUCUUGAAAAACUGAACCCUAGAUCGAAUGGUCUGCAUUGGAACCAUCUUCAUCCAUGCAAUUGCGAAGUAGCUUAACAAAGAACAAGCUGUCAUGUGACACAUGGUUAAGAAGAUUGGGUAUUUGAAACCGUAAUUGCUUAGUAAAUACUUAACAAAUACUUGUCGUGAACAUUUUCGAUUGGUUUUUCAUGGUUUCUUUUUGGGUUUUGAGGAUCUGGGUGUCUUAAUUUAGAUGAAGAAAAAAUGGGUUUUUAAUAGAAAAGGAAAUUGGGAUUAUAGAAGAUGGAUCUGGGUGGAGCUUGGGAAAUUAUGGGUGUUUUUGGUGUGAAAAAUGGGUUCUUUUGAGAUGAUUUGAUGGAACUAGCUCCCAUGGAUCUGAUUCAAGUUUCUCAUUACAAUAUCAAUGAAACCCAGAAAGAAGAAAAAUUAAAAGUUAAACUAAAAAAAAAGGUACAGAAAAAGUAAAGCUUUAAUGUUAUGAAAAUAGCUAUGGAUUGGCUGCCUCUCUGCAAAAUUCUCUGAGAAAACGAAGAAGACAAAAAUUACGAACCCGAAGCGUCCUUGAAGCUUCAGUUAAAAUCAAAGGACCCCCUUGGUGAUGCGAGCUAACUCCUCCAACCACCGCUGCAAGCGAAGAAGACGAAAGACAAUCUGCCACCGCAUGACGCAACGGCUCCGGUGGCUUCUUAAGCGACGAAGAUCUAAGCCUCGACACUCCACUGCCUGCUCCUAACUGAAGCAUUGAACUCCCGGGCUCCGAGCUGGACUGAAAGUUGUAGCCAUCGGACUUAGGUUGCACUCUGAAUCCACGCACAACCGUCUGUCAAACUUAACUCCAAUUUAAAAAAAAAAAAACAAAGAGUUUUUAAGCAAUUAAAAUCUUGUUUUUCCCCCUCAAUUCAAUCGUUCCUACAUUUCAACAGAGAACAAAGAAAGAGAGAAAGAGAGAAAUUUGUGGAAGAUUCAAAAUCUUAUUUAUUCUGAGAGUAAAAAAAAUGAAAAUAGAAGAGGGAAAACUGGGAGGAGGGAAAGUGGGAAAAAAAGAGAUUUUGAAUCUUUUGUGGCGUUUUUUUUAUAGAAACGCCGCAAAACAUUAUUUCAUUUUGAACAAAACGACCCCGUUUUACUCAGUUAAAAAUAUUUUAUUUUGUCUACUUGAACAAAACGACCCCGUUUUACUCAGCUAAAAAUAUUUUAUUUUGUCUGCUAAAAAUUAUUAGUUAAGUGAUUUUAUAAAAUAUUUAUUAUUAUUAUUUUUUAUAAACUUGAUUUUUAUAAAAAAAACAAGUACUUUCAAAAUAAAUAUCGUAUAUUUUAAUAAGAAAACAAAUGAUUAAAUGGUUGUAUUUAAUUAUUAAGUUAGAAUUAUCCAAUGUAAGAUUAGUUAAUCAUAAUUUUAUAUUAUUCUUUUCCAAUCUAAUCUCUAUUUUAUUAGAGAUAUUUCUUCCUAACUAAAAUAUAACUAUAUAUAUUGCUAAAUGUUCGAUGUGAAAUGAUUUUAGUUUUUUUAUUUCAUUUUUAUUUGUUAUAAUUUAGUCCUAUCGAAAAUAGAUAGUUACCUAUCCAUAUCAAUUACUUUUUAUUUAUUUAUUUAUCAAUGUUUUUUUUAAAUCUAAUAUUUAAAUAUAUCAAAUGGUUUAUAUUAAAUAUUUUUAAAUAUAAAAGCAUUAAUUGGUUGAAUAAAAUUUCAUCAUUUAACAAAUCUCAAGUAAACCUUAAAUCCUAAACCAUUUAAUAUAUAUAAAUUCAAAAAACUAGUUAAUCUAAACCCAAAACCCUAACCCGGCCCGAAUCUCUAAACCUUAAAUCACUAACCACAAACCCCUAACCACAAACCUUUAACCCCUAACUACUAACCCCUAAACCUUAUUUAAUAUAUAAAUUAAAAAAUACUAAUUAAUCUAAACCUUAAAUCCCAACCCGAAUACCUAACCCCUAACCCCUAAACCUUAUUUAAUAUAAAUUAAAACACACUAAUUAAUCUAAACCCUAAACCCUAACCUGACAUCGAAUCAAUGAACCCUAAAUCCCUAACUCUUAAUCUCUAACCCUUAAUCCCUAACCCCUAAAUCACAACCCUUAAACCAGAACCCCUAAUCCAUAGUCCCUAAUUCCAUAAUCUAUAAACCUUAAAAUUCUAACUCCUAAACCGGCCUUAAAUCCUAAAUUAACCAUACCUCCUAAACCAUAUACCCUAAAUCAUAUAUAUUAAACCCUAAACUAUAAUGACAAUUACUUAAAUAUUUUAAAAUUAAUACUACCGUAUCUUUUACAAUUAUAUAUGAAAUUAUUUAAUAUAUAAAUUAAAAAUCAAUCAGUCAUGUACCCAAAAAAUUUUAAAAUUAUUUUAAAUAAUAGUAUUUUAAUUUUUCCAUUUUUAACAAAUAUUUUUCUAUGUUUUUUAUUUCAAUUUAUUUAUAAGUGUCAUUAUUUCAAAUUUAUCCAUUUUUAACAAAUUUUCAAUUAAAAAUAAAUUGAAUUUUAAUUAAUAUAAAUAAACAAUUAAAUAGUAAUUAGACAGAUAAAAUGUUUUUGCGGCACUUCUUCAAAAACGCCGCUAAAGCCAAGAGCAUUAGCGGCGCUUUAUCAAAAACGCCGCUAAAGCCCAGAGCAUUAGCGGCACUUUACCAAAAACGCCGCUAAAGCACAGAGCAUUAGCGGCGCUUUUCCAAAAACGCCGCUAAAGCCUCGAAUGGUCUGAAAACGAUGCCGUUGGGCUUAGGUUUUUUGCGGCGUUUUCUCAAAAAACGCCGCUAAUUCUCAUUUUUAGCGGCGCUUUCCCUAAGGCGCCGCUAAUGCUCUAUCUUUAGCAGCGUUUUACGUAAAGCGCCGCUAAUGCUCGAUUUUUAGCGGCGUUUUGUAUCCAAACGCCACUAAAACUGCCGCUAAAAGCCUGUUUUGGUGUAGUGUAACAUAAAAAAAAUAUUUGGCAUAUGCCACAUAUGUGGCCAAUAAUCUUUCAUAUCACAUUGAUAGCAUCAGUUAUCUUUACCCUUUUAAAAGUUAUCUUGAGAACUCUCAUUGUUCUCUUAUUUAUUAUUAUGUUUCCACUUUUAGUGGUCCAUGAUUGUAUCUUUUAUUUUUUUUAUGUUUGCAUUCACUUCGGAGAAUGCAACAAAUCUAGUAGGACAGACUUCCAAACGCCUCCAUUGAUUCUUUAUUUCAUAAUCACCAUCGCAAACAUACGUAGAUUUCAAAUCAGAAUCUAUCUAUUCAUGUUGUCAUGGUUAGUCUUUAAUUAUAAUAAACAUGAUAUAAUAAAUAAGUCAUAAUAAAAUAUACCUGAAGAUUUUUAACAUCAUUGUCACCACCUUGGUUAUUAUUAGGAGCACUAUUACAAGUACUAAAAUAACUAUACUUUCAUAAGAACAUACCACAUAUAAGUUAUAAAAUCUUAUGAUGCUCUAAUAAAUUAUUUGUACUUUAUAAUUUAAUCUAAAAGUUAUUAUACAAUCAUUCAACUAUAACAAAUUAAUGAGUAAUUUAGAUUCUAUUGAAUUUCCCUUUUUCCCUUUAAUCAAAGGCAAAUUGAUUAGUAAUACUCUCUCUCACAAUUUUAAUCAAAUUUCAAGCAUAUUUAAUGACAAUAAUUUAAUCAUCAAAAAAUUUAAUCAUCCAAAUAUCAUGCAUACUAUAAUUUAAUAAAAUAAUCUUAGUUUAAAAGAAACAUUAAAGUAAUAAUAUUUUUUUUGAUAAAAUAAUUUUACCAAAAAUCAAUCAACAAAGGAAAAAAAUAUACCACUUAAGGAUUAUAAAAAAUUUCUUUGUAUAAAAAGGCAUAAAUUGUUUUUAGAGAUUUAUGUGUACCUCGGUGGUUAAAAGCUUUAAUGAUUACCCAUAGUGUGUAAGCCUCAAUUGAAAUAGCAACAACUCUAGAAGGCAAUCGACAAUAGCAAAUAUUGGGAUAUUUUUGUAACUUUGGAGAAAAACAAUUAAAAGAGAAUCGUGUUGAUAACGUGUUAUAAAAUAAAAGAUAGAGAAUAAAGAACAAAGAGAACGAAAGAGCAAAGAGAGAGUGUAUUUUAUUGAUCAAUCGGGAAUAUUGACAAUUCUUCUCCAAAGUAUUUAUUUAUAGGCAUAAGAAGUAUAAAGAAGUAGAGAUAUACUUCUAAUGACUAUUAGAAUUUAAAGUAUAUCAAAAUAAAAUAUUCAUAACAAAAACUUAAUUAACAAGGUGGAUGGUUUACAACUAGCCUCCACCACCGUUUGACAUUUAGAAAGUGGUCUAAUUACUCAAUUGGUCUUUUAAUUAAUUAAUUGAGGUUUAUUUAAUUAAACCUUAAUUAAUUAGGGCUUAAUAGUAAUUAACCCAAAAGUUAAUGGGAUUUAAUGACAUUCACGACGUCUUGGACUUUUGAAAAUGGUCUAUUCGUCAUUUUGAUCCCUUAGCUAUUUAAAAUCUAUAGCGAUUAAAUUUUAUCACUUUUAUAAUUUAGUCCUUUUUUUCUUAAUUAACUAUCAUAGACAUAGGUUCCUGGGUCUUUCAACUUUGGAGGCAAUUUAUUUGUCAGCAUGUUAGUGCACCCUACGGUGAGUGCGACUGUUUCAAAUUCUCCCAAUUGUCUCACGAUCCAUGCGGCCUUAGACAAUUUGUUCAUCCAAACUCGCUUAAGUCAGCCUUUACUCAAGUGAGGAUUCCUUUAGAAGUCCUCCAAGGCACCAAUUUGUAUAGCGGAAGCGAUUUAUGCCAAAAGAAGCAAUAAAAGAACAACAAAAAGAAGGCACACAAGAUGUUUGAGUAAAUGCUCUCAAUAUUCUCUUAUUCACAAAGAAUAAUGAAAUAAUGAAUGGAGUGAGUACAAAUGAGGGGGAGGCUCUCUAUUUAUAGUUGUGCUCUCCCAAAGUUGACGGUCAAGAUACAUUUACAUUGACGGACGAGGUUAACUAUAUCCCUUGAUUUUAGGGAUUUACAAGAUAUGUCAUAUCAAAUCUAAUCUAAUAUUUACAAGAUAUGAUUCUAUCAAUCUUCUAGAUUAGUUACCAACACAGCCUAAGUUGUCAUAUCUUCAUUAUUGGGCCAACCAGGCUUCAAUCUGACAAGCUUCUCUAACUACUUACCGAAUCGGGUCAGUUCUUGCGGGCCAAAUGAUCCCCAUCUACACAAUACACCUCCAUCAAAUACAUUUGGUAUGAUAGUCACGGGCUUUGAACUGCGGCCCAUGACAUUCUCCCCCACCCAUUCUCGCAACGCCCUCGUUGCGACUUCCUAAUGGUACUGGCUUGAUUUGCCUCAGUCUUGUCUCGAUGGCUUAGCUUUUUCCUUCUUUCGAGACUUUUUCCUCGGUUUACGUCACUUCUUAACUCAAAUAGUCCUACUUGUUGCAUUUACUCUAGUCAACUGUUCAACUUGCAUCACUUCUUUUCCCUUGAAGUCUGAUGCACCACCCACCUCUCCCAUAGGUGGAAGCCUUGUCAAUGACUUGGCCAACUCCGAUGCUUCACUCGAAUUCAGCCUCAUUGGUCCCAGCUUCACUAUUUUCAUCGCAACUUUUUCCCCUAAGUUUGAUGACAAACUCACCACUUCCUUGGGUGGAAGCCUUUCCGAUGACUCACCAAGCUCAGACGUUGUCUUUCCUUUUACUACGGCUUGCUUUGGACAAUUCCGUAGCUUAUGUGAACCACGACACAAGAAGCACUUUACUCGCUUCUUUUUCUCCUCUUUGCCCUUUUGGCUUCGACUUUUCCCUUGCUCGAACCAAGCUUCUUGGGCUCCCUGUCUGCUCCAUCGUCCCUUCAAUGAUAGACUUCUUCGGACACUUCCGCAACCUAUACAGACCAUGACAUAAGAAGCACUCCAUUGGCUUCUUCUCACAUUAGGCCUCAUUGGCUUCGAUACCCCUUGCGCUUAAACCAAGUACCAAGGCCUUACCCACCAGCUUCUCCUUAAACGCGGAUUGCUUCGGACAUUUCUUCAACAUGUGUGGACCAGUGCAGAGAAAACAUUUCAACUUGUCCCUUUUCCUAUUGGGUUUCUUCUUUCCAACUCGUGGUUUCCCAUUACCACUAUUGUCGCCAAUGCCAUUGCCAUCAUUAUCUUCCUUGUGAUCCUUUUCAGAUAUGCCCCUUUCCUCGGACUUGGAAGACCCAAGCUUGUCUUUCCCUAGGCCAAGCUUGACCACAGAUUUCGCUAUCGUCAUGGCUUUUGGCAGCUUUUGGACACCUCUUUCGGCUUUGGGACAUCCUCGUAUCUAAGUGCUGCACUUGACACUCCUUCCCUAAAGGCUACUCGACACAAGGCUAGCUUUACCUCGAGCUCCUCUAUUCAUAUGCUCAAAGCCAUUGUCGUGGCCAUUGUUUCCUUCUUCAAAGCCAUCAUCAUGGCCUCAAGAGCAUAGUUUCUCUCCUAUAACUUAUCCCUGUGUGAAUUAAACAACUCGUUUACCUUAUCUAUGGUGGAAUCAAGAGACAUAUUUACAUAGUCUCUAGAUUGCUUCUUCCAGUUGUUUAUGCGAUCCUCGACCCUAUCAAGUGCCUCCUUUACGUCCUCAAUGGUUCCCACGAGUUUACCCACACGUUCUUCUACUAUCGACAGUGUCUCCCUCAAAGACUUUCUAGCCCACAUUUGUUCGAACUCUUCUUUUGACAUCCCAACGGUGCCUUCGAACCAAUAGCUCGGAUACCACUUGUUACAGGGAUAGAUCUUUCAUCUCGUAAUCCGUGCAGCCUUAGGCAAUCUGUUCAUCCAAACUUGCCUAAGUCAACCUUUACUCAAGUGAGAAUUCCUUUAGAAGUCCUCCAAGGCACCAAUUUGUAUAGCGGAAACGAUUUAUGCCAAAAGAAGCAACAAAAGAAUAAUAGAAAGAACGCACACAAGGUGUUCGAGUAAAUGCUCUCAAUAUUCUCUUAUUCACAAGGAAUAAUGAAACAAUGAAUGGAGUGAGUACAAAUGAGGGGGAGGCUCUCUAUUUAUAGUUGAGCUCCCUUAAAAUCGACAGUCAAGAUAUAUUUACAUCGACGGAUGAGAUUAACUAUAUCCCUUAAUUUUAGGGAUUUAUAAGAUAUGCCAUAUCAAAUCUAAUCUAAUCUUUAUAAGAUAUGAUUCUAUCAAUAUUCUAAAAUUAGUUACCAAAAUAGCCUAAGUUGCUAAAUCUUUCUUAUCAAGCCAACCAGGCUUCAAUCUGACAGGCUUCUCCAAAAGUUUACCGAAUCGGACCAGUUUUUGCGGACCAAAUGAUCCCCAUCUACACAAUAGACCUCUAUCGGAUGCAUUUGGUAUGAUGGUCACGAGCUUUGAACUACGGCCUGUGACACUAGCAUGGUCUCUUAAAGAACAAGAAAACAUCUUGAGUUUUAAGGCAUCUUCAAGGACACCUUACUGUCUGAAAGAAUUGUAGACCUCUAAGAAAAUUCGCAAGUGAAAUCUAGGAUCUUCAGUUAGCACACCACCAAACUGACCAAUUGAUUGAAGCAUUUGAAACAUUAUACGUUUCAGCUCAAAGUAAGGAGCUUGAAUUUGAGGCCUGACUAUUCCAGGAUUUAGGUAAUCUAAAAUAGGAACUACAUGCUCUCAAGUUGGCCUAUCACAAUCGUCAAACAUCUAAGCAACCUAAGGAUUACCAUUGCUAGCUCCCGGAUUAAGUAGCUCAUUCAAACCAGGUUGAUUGUUACCACCUUAAUUUAUUUCUCUUUAUCGUCUUCUCCUUUUUUUAUGGAUCUAAGGGAUAGAGCUCUUCAACAUGAAUGCCUCUAUGCAUACAACUAGUAACAGACCUAUUGUAUAAUGAAAUAAAUAAAUUAACGGCUAAUAUAAAAUUUACAGUAACAAAAACUAAAGUUGCCAAUUGUUAAUCCCUGGCAACGGUGCCAAAAACUUGUCGUGUGUGAAUAUAAUGUGCGAAUUGUGCAAGUAUACAUAUUGAAUCAAGUAAUAAAGUAAUGAGUGAGUAUCAUUCCCACGAGGAUUGAAUUAAUAUUCUUUGUCUAAAUUAUCACAAUUGAGUAGAAAAGAUAAAUGAAUUGAAUGAUAUUUUGAGAAAUAACAAUGCAAUUAAUACGCUAAAAGUGAAAAUAAUAAAAUGUACUAUCGUAGAUUGCAUUUGCAAAAAAUUGAAUAAAAGCACUAAGGAUUCUAGCAAAAUUGGAAUAUUGAUUGUAAAGGCUGGAUUACUAAUGAACUAAUAACCCGGGAAAAAUGCCAUGUAAAAAAUAUGUAACCUACUGCUUGAUUGGGUACUAACGUGGUCUACCUCUGUCGAAAGCAAGACCUAAAGCUGCUCACUUCUAAGACACUAUACAUCUAUAGACUAAGAAUUAGCAACCAUGAAUGAAGCACAAUCUUCUAAAUCAUAUAAGGUAACGCUCUCUUAUAUUACCCAGUUUUGGUCCAAGCAACCAAACUCUGUCGAUAUUAAGCUGCUUUUAGAUUUAUCAAGCAUUUAUCAUUGCUCUAAUAAGCAUAUAAACAUAAAUAAACAUUGGGUAAAGUAGUAAAUUGAAUCAUAUUCAUCCAUAAACAUUCAUUAGAGUUAAAACGUCAUCAAAAGUAAUCCUCAUUUGUGCUAAGUUAGCUCAUGACUGGGCUACGCAAAUUUAAGUAUUUUAAUGUCAUCAACAUCCUAAAAUAACAGUUUAAACUAGCAGAUUUAGAAAAAAUUAUAGAUAGAGAAAUUUGGGUUUAGAACACAAAUCCCACAACUUGGCGUCUAGUGCGCGUCUUCACCCAAGCUCCUAAUAGCUCAAAUUACCCUUAUUGUCAUAAAGAAACUCUAUCAAAGCUCCGUAUUUGCAAUCAGUCGUACCUUUCAAUUUUUUUUCUUGGUAGACCUCUCUCCUUUUUCUUUUAUACUUGGGUCCUCCUCUAAGGUAAAAGCCGUCAGCCAAUGAUUAUUUUUUCCCUAAUUUUGAGGUGGAUAUUUUCCAUUAUACGUGCAUGUGGAGGGCCAACUGCUGAAUGCUCUAAUUGAUGACUGGGUAUUUGUCGUUUUCUUCCUCAGCAUUACCAUGGCAAUCUCUCAUAAUGCCUUGGCAAAUCUCCAUCCUUUGUUAUAUUUCUUCCUCAAACUUGUCACCACAAGGCCUUUCCACCAACAAUUCAAAGUAUAGAUGCACUAAAGCAAUCACCAUUCCAAGUUUUUACAUAUAAUGCUCGAUUCACUAAAAAUAAUCAUGCAAUUACCUAAAAUGAAACUAAUUUUACUUAAGUACAAUCAGUUAACUAAUUCUAAAAGUAUAAAUUAUAAAUCUUUUCAAAAUUUAUUAGUACCCCUUUUCUCCUUUCUUAAUUCAGAAGAAACAAGAUAGGGACUUAUCUCUAGAGCUAAAAGGAUUUGCCUACCGCUCCUCUUCUUCCGAAGGUAUUCACAAGUCCACCGUCGUUGAGCUGACGAGUUCUUUCUCUAUAAUGGUUGCAGAGUGGGAACUUAUUAUUUGGUCCAUCGAACAGGCUUGCAAAGAGUUUGAGGUUUGUCAGGAUGCUUCUGAGAGAACUAUCCUUUUGGGAGAAUAGUCUCUCGCCCAUCUCCACCAAUCCUAUGAUGGCAUUGCUUUACAAAAUCACAAACUUACUCAAUCUGUCUCCCCAUCGACAGCCCAAGAGAAAGAGUUAGAAGAAAAAGUCCAUCAUUUGGAGACCCCAGAGAAACAACACAUUGCCAAAAAAGAGAAAAUACAAAAAGAGAGCAAUGCACUCUGGAAAAAUUUAUGGCAGAUACCAAAAAAGGUACUAAGUUACAUUUGCCAAUUUUAUGGUCUAGCUUAAUAAUACCCUUACAAGAAGCUAUGGGUCCCUUCGGUCUAUGCCACAUGAGCUUCAAAUGUCUGCGGCCUCUUGUCAAGACCAACCUUGGCUUCGGCGUCCUAAAUCCCAAAGAGGUUGUAUGGAGAAAAUUCCAAAAGAAAUGGAGGGAGUCUGGUUAACUCUUCUAUGACCAUGAUUCAAACACAUCUAACUCAGAUUCUUCGGAUGGUACUGCCUCAGAGGAUGGAACCUUCGAUGAGGCCUCCAUCUCUUUCGCCCAAGGGAAAACUAAUGUUGAGAAAGAGGAGAACACAUAGGGAACGACUGAUCCGCCAACUUUGGAUAUUUUUAAAUAUUUUUUUUUGAAUUUAUAAUAGUUUUUCUAUAGUAAUAAGAACUCCCACCUCUCUCUUUCAUUCUAUUUUGCUACAAUACAUUUUUCACCAAUCUGACUAUGAUCCGCCAUUCUUAUAGUUAUUCUCGUCACACUAUCUUAUAUCAAUUUUAGGGGGACUAAGCCAGAGCUAUUGCAACAUGUAUACAGAGGUUAUUUCAAAGUUUACUAUGUUUAAAGGAUCAACUAAAUCGUACUCUGAUACCACUCAAUUUGUAACACCUUAUACCUGACCCGAUCGCAGGGUUCAAGUACCAGAUGUUACACUAACCUGAAGUAAUUAACAAAAUUUCAGUUUCCAAUUUAUUUGCACACUUAAAUGACUCAAAUUCUUGAAAAUCUAGUUGUUAAUACAACUUGUACAAAACUAGUGAUAAAUUCCUAAGACUUUAAUUAAAACAAAUAUUUACAACUUUUGAAUUAAGGCUUGAUAACGUAUAUAAUUAACUUAGACCUUGAGGCAAGCUCUCCACAGGUGCCCCUCUAUAUACAUGGACAGCUACUGGGCACCACUUAACUUUGGCUGGGUCUUGCUUGGUCUCUCUUAAUUCAUCCAAGUCACUAUCUAACCUGUAUUCAAGCAGUAAUUUUAUAAGUACAAAAGAACUUAGUGAGAUCCGCAUAUAGAAUUUAAGAAAAAUUAGAGACUUCUGGCUCAAAAUUAAACUCCUUUAAUUUCGUAGGAGAAUUUCUGAACUUAAUUGUCAAGGCUCAUGCCAUACGAAUUCUAUGUUGUUUAUUAGCGGACUAGUCCUUAGUUUGAUCCUGACCAUGUUCACUCUUGGGAAUCACCCCAUUUCCCAUUUCCUAUUAUUCUAUCUCUCUGAUCCUCGUCUUCAUUAUUCUUGGCUGGCAACACUUAGUGACUAGCCAAGUAAUCGCCAUAACUGCUGUCUUUUCUAGAAUACAAUGUCCUCACUAACCUAGAGUGUUAGUGUCCACAACACCAUGUACUUGCUUUGUCAAUCCAUUCAUUAAAGAGGUUUCAUUAAACAUUCAGAUCCUACCUUUUGUAGAUCACCAAGAUCUUUAUUAUUUUUUUCGUGGUCCUAACAGAUCUCUAUUGUCCACUAUUCUCUAACGAGCUCUACUGGUUUUUUAGCCUUGAGCAAGCAUUUCCUGUCAUGAAAACUCCUAUCUUUCUAUAAAAAUUUCAACUAUUUUUUUACAUAUUGAUUUGUGACUGCAUCUUAAACAGCCUAAUCCAUGUUUGCUUAAACUGUAUGAACUCCACAGCUUCCUUGGCGGACUUGUUUUGACGUACAUUUUGUAUACCUUCUUAUAUAAUGAUUCUCUUCCUAUAUUCUACCUCACUAGUUCAAGACGUUUCCUUGGACCCACUCAUUACUGCUUUUAAUGAACUCUCACAUUGACCCAAGGGUCCAUUCCUUAGACACGCUAAGCUCAUUCAUUGCUAUGACUUACCAUACCCGUCACACUAGGAAUUCUACUUUCACCCUUAGUGUCCCUAAUGAAUUGUGGACUUUCCAAUUGUGCUUCCAAUAUUUAACAUCCUGUCAGGCUGACUCCAUUGGUUUCCGUAGUCGAGUUAUAGUCUUACACUUUUUAACCCUAUAUUUAUUAUCCUGACGAACUCCCUAUACAACCAUAUUCUAGAUAUGGUCUUACACAUUAAACCUCUUCUGUGGUGUCACCCCAUGGGACAUUACCACUGUUGCGAUGUCGCCCUAUAAAGCCUACUAACCACCGUCGUGUUGUUGCUCUAUGGAACUUAAUAUCUAUUGGUGCUCAAACCUUGAUGCUCAAACACCGUAGUGUCCCCUUCAAAAGGUCGGGAGCUUCAAACAUCACAGUUUGCACUCAGUAAUAUUAUAUAGCGAUAUCUAAUAGAAAUUCUCGUCCCCUAAGUCCUAACUUUAUCUGUCCCAUCAAUAAUUUCCCCACCAUGCUUCGCCAUUGAAAACAUAAAAUUCAUGCAUUCCAUACACACACUACACCAAUUAUUCAGACAUUGAAAUGUAACUAUCAAACAAACAACAAUCGUUCCUACCACAUUUGCAUACACUUAUUUAUCACUUUCCAUUCAAAAUCAACGUCCUAAGAACAAUACGUAACAAAAAAAGGUAUUUUGAUCUAGAGAUUAGCACGAUAAACCACCCAAAAGGUAGAGUACAGAAA
rnacentral:lncRNA from 1 species